rnacentral:rRNA from 1 species
GACGAACGCUGGCGGCGUGCCUAAUACAUGCAAGUCGAGCGGAUUGAUGGGAGCUUGCUCCCUGAUAUCAGCGGCGGACGGGUGAGUAACACGUGGGCAACCUGCCUGUAAGACUGGGAUAACUUCGGGAAACCGGAGCUAAUACCGGAUAAUCCUUUUCCUCUCAUGAGGAAAAGCUGAAAGACGGUUUCGGCUGUCACUUAUAGAUGGGCCCGCGGCGCAUUAGCUAGUUGGUGAGGUAACGGCUCACCAAGGCGACGAUGCGUAGCCGACCUGAGAGGGUGAUCGGCCACACUGGGACUGAGACACGGCCCAGACUCCUACGGGAGGCAGCAGUAGGGAAUCUUCCGCAAUGGACGAAAGUCUGACGGAGCAACGCCGCGUGAGCGAAGAAGGCCUUCGGGUCGUAAAGCUCUGUUGUUAGGGAAGAACAAGUAUCGGAGUAACUGCCGGUACCUUGACGGUACCUAACCAGAAAGCC